UUUGCAUAUCCAAAAAGCGGAGGAAAAGAAACCAACAGGGAUUGCCCUAGUAACGGCGAGUGAAGCGGCAACAGCUCAAAUUUGAAAGCUGGCUCCGGCCCGCAUUGUAAUUUGCAGAGGAUGCUUCUGGUGAGGUGCCUUCCGAGUUCCCUGGAACGGGACGCCAUAGAGGGUGAGAGCCCCGUAUGGAUGGACACCAAACCUGUGUGAAGCUCCUUCAACGAGUCGAGUAGUUUGGGAAUGCUGCUCUAAAUGGGAGGUAAAUCUCUUCUAAAGCUAAAUACCGGCCAGAGACCGAUAGCGCACAAGUAGAGUGAUCGAAAGAUGAAAAGCACCUUGAAAAGGGGGUUAAACAGUACGUGAAAUUGUUGAAAGGGAAGCGCUUGUGACCAGACUUGCGCCGGGCAGCUCAUCAGGGGUUCUCCCCUGUGCACUCUGCCCGGCUCAGGCCAGCAUCGGUUCUCGUGGGAGGAUAAGAACGGUAGGAACGUGGCCCCCUUCCGGGGGGGUGUUAUAGCCUACCGUACGAUACUCCCGUGGGGACCGAGGUUCGCGCUCCGCAAGGAUGCUGGCGUAAUGGUCAUCAGCGACCCGUCUUGAAACCACCGGACCCAA
rnacentral:rRNA from 1 species